GGGGUUAUGGUGUAGCCUGGUAGCAUUGGAGGUUUGGGACCUCUAGACCCCGGUUCAAAUCCGGGUAGCCCCA
rnacentral:tRNA from 1 species